CACGUAGGGGGCAAGCGUUGUCCGGAUUUAUUGGGCGUAAAGAGCUCGUAGGCGGUUCGGUAAGUCAGGUGUGAAACCUCCAGGCUCAACCUGGAGACGCCACCUGAUACUGCUGAGACUCGAGUCCGGUAGGGGAGCGUGGAAUUCCUGGUGUAGCGGUGAAAUGCGCAGAUAUCAGGAGGAACACCAGCGGCGAAGGCGGCGCUCUGGGCCGGAACUGACGCUGAGGAGCGAAAGCGUGGGUAGCAAACAGG
rnacentral:rRNA from 1 species